UAAAUACGGAGUGCAUGUCUAAGAUGUUGGCAAGGUAAAACUAGUCCCACUGAACUGAACAGAAAAGUUCUCCAGUGUGUCGUUGGGCCCUACUUUCAGGCACUAAAAUUCUUCUCUCAGUGUGAAGGAACUGAUGGAAUUAACCUCACCUACAAAACCAUCUGAAUUGAUCUGAGAGUAUAUUUCAGAAGUAGUGUUGGAGUUCUGUAUUGUCAUCUUUGGCAUAUAUGGCGGAACUGCGGAGGAGCUUUGGGUGCCUAGACAUGAAGAUGAAGCCCUGUCUUGGGCAUCUUCACCUUCUGAUGGUACCUGUGAUUGCCCAUUGGAGGACAGUUUCAUGUAUUUGUGUUACAUCAGUGUUGCAAGGUACGAGAUAAAGAGUUGCUGAGCUUUGUCUCUGUCUAGAAGUGUAAGUGGUCCCGCAACCAGGAUUUGUUCUGUUGUACUCUUCUCCUGUUGCUUUCUUUCUGUACAUCCAGACAUAAAAGGACA